GGCCGAUUGGUGUAAUGGUGAACACACCUCAAUUGCGAGGAGUUCCCGGGUUCGAUUCCCGGGUCGGCUG
rnacentral:tRNA from 1 species